GCAAAAGGAAGGGCCUUGCUGAGGAAAGGCAAGGCUGCCGCUUGCUCCGGUGCCGCUCAGGUGGGAGAGUGUCACAGUGAUGGAUGGUCCUUAAAAACAAGUACUGCGUGGCUGGAAGUCACCGAAUGCCACAGGGCAGAGCAGCUGUUCUCGUUCAAGCACAUCAUCUUCUCACCGUGCUCCGAGCGAUCUGACAUGAGGUGGAGGCUGGAACACUGGCAUCCUGCAUGGCGCUCCCUGUCCGUGCUCCCAGCUGACACGGCCAGAGCUGUAACUACAGUGCAAACUUGAAGGAGGGAAAAAUACGUGAGAACAGACAAGGAGCAGGGCAUGUAGUGUGG
rnacentral:lncRNA from 1 species